UACAGAGGGUGCAAGCGUUGUUCGGAAUUACUGGGCGUAAAGGGCUCGUAGGUGGCCAACUAAGUCAGACGUGAAAUCCCUCGGCUUAACCGGGGAACUGCGUCUGAUACUGGAUGGCUUGAGUUCGGGAGAGGGAUGCGGAAUUCCAGGUGUAGCGGUGAAAUGCGCAGAUAUCAGGAGGAACACCGGUGGCGAAGGCAGGUCUCUGGGCAACAACUGACGCUGAGGAGCGAAAGCGUGGGAGCGAACAGG
rnacentral:rRNA from 1 species